rnacentral:lncRNA from 1 species
CUUUCCGGUCAAGGGUAGCUUCCUAUUAGCCCACACUGUUGAACUUUGAAACAUCACUUCUUCUUCUUUUCAUCUUCCACUCUCUUUCACUACAUAUAUUAGGCUCUACUCAACGCCUGGACCUUCAUAUACUUAUUUCGGCAUUCGGAUCAACUGAUUAUUAUCAAUGGAUGUACAUUUUCUUUUCUUGAUUUUUCUCUAAAUUUUCUUCAAUUUCUUGAAAAUCCUAUGUUGAAUUUUGUAUUUUGAAUUUUUUUUUUUAAUACAAAUGUGGAUUGAGCAAAAUGGGUGUGAUGGGAUUUUUUUUUCCAUGAUUUGGUUCUCGAUUACAUGAAGGAGAAUCUUUUCCAAUUUCGCUUGUAAUUAUUUCUUGGGUUUCCUUUUUUGUUUGAUUUUUCUUUUUUAAUUUGUUCAAAAUUUCUUGAUUUCAGCUGCAUAAGGGAUUAUUUGCGAUUUAUAAGGCUAUUUUAGUCAAGAAAAUUAGAAAUUUUUCAUUUUUUAUCUCCCUUUUUGGAACUGUCAAUUUAUAUAUAUCUUUAUUCUGUAAACCGGAAGUUUAGUGCCUAAUGACCGUUGAUGGAUUUCAUGUCCAAAUUUGAAGUUGAAUGUAAUGUAUGAGAUGAAAUAAAGUGAAGUUUGUGACUUUUUGGUAUUUAGGAUUGGUGUAUUUUUCAACUCAUCUUGUGUAGUCUUAUUAGAUUCAUAUUAAAGUAAAAAAAGAAAAUUAUGGUUUGCUUAAAAAGGUUGCAGGGCGCGUUGUUGGUUUUGUUGGUUUAUAGUAAGUCGUAAUUGGCAUAGGAGUUCAAGUAUUCAAGGGAUCAUUUGAUAAUUAACUUUUGGUUUUGUUUAAAUUCGAUAAAUUGAAAUUUCAAUUUAUAUAUCAGAGAAGAGGGUUCAAAGGAUGGGAUGCAGAUUCAAAGGAUGGUUGUCUAGAUCAUACGGAAAGAGACAAUCGAUCUGAGAAAGUACUUGGUGAUCUUUGGAGCUGUUAAUGCUUUUGUUUUGCUAGAUUGUUGGGUUUUUGAUACCCAAUAAAUCUCGAGUUAUGAUGUUAACGUGGGUUUAUUUCAUGGGCAUAGACCGAUGAAUGAAAUUAGUCCAACAAUUAAGUCCAUAAGCUACACCCAACCCAAUUGUAUUCUUUAUGGAUGACUUGAAUCUUGACCCGUUUAUCCCUUUAAUGGCCCAAUUUAAAGCCUAACCCUAGAGUAUAUAUUUGGUUAUAACCCUAGCCACUUUAAUAUGAUGAUUGUGUGAUUUUGAGAGAAGAACUAGUGAAUCCCGGCUGCCCCCUUUUUUGUGAGAAAAAGGUGUUCAGAAGUGUCCAGAACGCUGGUAUAACGUGUGCAAUUGGUGGUUCUUUCAUAGUAUACCUUUGUGGUGUUUUCUCUUAGCCUUUGUGGCGAUAAAUCAUCAUCCUUUCUUGUCCUACGUGGGUAAGAUUGAAUAGCAAUCAAGAUGAAUCAAUUGGUUGUGGUUUGGAGCCGUUUGGAUUGGUUGUUGGUAGAGAAAGGUACGUUGGACUGAACCUGAAAAACCACCGUUUAAAGAUUCUUUUGAGAGAACUUCCGCAACAUAGAUGAUGAAAUUGGGAGGUUUAAGAAACUGGAGUCUUUGAUGAAAUUCAAUGUGAAGUUUUGUUUCCUUAACUUUAGUUUGUAGGUCUGGAUAACAAUAACCUCAGUAUACGUGAAAAUGAAAAUUUUGUUGGAAGAAUAGAGUAAUUUCAAUUAUUGGAUUUCUAACCGAUGCAUGGCCAAAUUUUUGAGUUUUAAGAAUUAUAAAAAUUUCAACUAUUCCUCUGUCAACUUACAUCUUUCGAUUUAAUUUGAAUAUUUAAGAGUUACAUUGUUCCAUCACUAUCUCGAUGCAACAUUUUCAUACUCCAACUUCUCUAACAGUGCUCUAAAUGAAUUUGAUGAUCGUUAAUUGAUUGCAGAUAGGAUUGCCAAAUUGUUUCCACCCCUAUUUGAACAACCAUCAGCAAUGUUGGUACCUAGUGCGUCAGGUGAUACCCCAUUGGUUUAAGGCCUGAAGAUUGGAGUGAUUUUGUCUGGAGGGCAAUCUCCAGCAGAGCACUACGUUAUUUCUAAAAUUUUUGGUUAGGAUCUCCCAGUUUCACUAUCUGUACUUGAGUGUUGUAAUGUUUUCUUACACUCAAUGGGCUUGAAUUUCGUUAACAAAAUGCAUUUAAUGAAAAUUGCUUCUUUAUUUAGUGACAUCAUCUCAUUCAAACACCUGAAUGAAGUUGGAAUUGAAUCUAAA